GACGAACCGAGCGAACGUUGUUCGGAAUCACUGGGCUUAAAGGGCGCGUAGGCGGGCUGUCAAGUCUGGGGUGAAAUCCCGCGGCUCAACCGUGGAACUGCCUCAGAUACUGACGGCCUCGAGGGAGAUAGGGGCGAGCGGGACUAAUGGUGGAGCGGUGAAAUGCGUAGAGAUCCGGAGGAACACCAGAGGCGAAGGCGGCCUACUGGGCUGCACCUGACGCUGAGCCGCGAAAGCCAGGGGAGCGAACGGG
rnacentral:rRNA from 1 species